rnacentral:rRNA from 1 species
CAGUCGUACCGGUGGGUAAUCAGCCUUUUGGGCGUGAUUAUGUGGAGUGUGAGGAGUUAAACACCUUCAUGCCUGCGUAUUCGUGCACUUUGGGUGUACUUGCCCGCAUGGUUGGUUAACAUCAAUUUCGGAAACCAUAAAAUGGUUGGAGGAAUGUAGCUUCGGUCUCGUAUUGAAGUGUUAUAGCCUCUGGCAGAUGUGGUGAUCGAGAUUGAGGAUUGCAACGGAUACCCUUCGGGGCUACCUACCUGAUCUCUGAUCGUUACUCUGGUGCCGAAAGCGUGCUUACGGUCAUCAAAGUUGAUGGUCAACAGGUUAGAAUGGGUUAAA